rnacentral:rRNA from 1 species
UACGUAGGGCGCAAGCGUUAUCCGGAAUUAUUGGGCGUAAAGAGCUCGUAGGCGGUUUGUCGCGUCUGCCGUGAAAGUCCGGGGCUCAACUCCGGAUCUGCGGUGGGUACGGGCAGACUAGAGUGAUGUAGGGGAGACUGGAAUUCCUGGUGUAGCGGUGAAAUGCGCAGAUAUCAGGAGGAACACCGAUGGCGAAGGCAGGUCUCUGGGCAUUAACUGACGCUGAGGCACGAAAGCGUGGGGAUCGAACAGG